rnacentral:rRNA from 1 species
GUACACGCUGUGACUAGCAUAUCAAUAAGCGGAGGAAAAGAAACUAACAAGGAUUCCCCUAGUAACGGCGAGUGAAGCGGGAAGAGCUCAAAUUUGAAAUCUUAAAGGGUUUCCCUUUACGAAUUGUAGUUUAAAGAAGUGUUUUCUGUUGAGGUUUUGGUAAAAGUUCUUUGGAAUAGGACAUCAUAGAGGGUGAGAAUCCCGUAUUUGACCUUUACUUUCAACUUUGUGAUACACUUUCAAAGAGUCGGAUUGUUUGGGAAUGCAGUCCAAAAUGGGUGGUAAAUUUCAUUCUAAAGCUAAAUAUUGGCGAGAGACCGAUAGCGAACAAGUACCGUGAGGGAAAGAUGAAAAGAACUUUGAAAAGAGAGUUAAAUAGUACGUGAAAUUGUCAAAAGGGAAGCGUUUGACACCAGUGUUGUUUUUCUGAAAAUCAAUUAAAGAACUGUUUAUGCUAAGUUGUUUAGACUUUAUCAGCUAACUGUUUAGUUUUGAGCUUUUCUUUAAUGCACUUUUCAGUUAACAAGUCAACAUCAAUUUCUUUUGCUGUAAAAAAGCUUGAGGAAGGUGGCUUGAGAUUCGUCUUAAGUGUUUAUAGCCUCUUGCCUAUGCAGUCGGAGAGAUUGAGGUCUGCAGCGUAGAUCCUUCGGGGCUAAAUGCAUUUGUGCUAAGUUAUAACAUUUUAUAGACAACUUGUUGACUAUGAUUUGUCUUGUAGCUUACUCGCUUAUGUUAUUUUACCUACGCUUAGGAUGUUGACGCAUGAGAUAUACGC